GUAAGAGGAGUAAAUGGGCAAGGAGCAAAGCGGGCUGAUUCAGGAAAUUCAGGUUGAGGAGAAGGUGGAUUUUACAGCAAUGGAAGAAGUGGUAAACAGUUUGAUGGUAAGUAUGGAAAUGGAAGAGAAUGAGGUUUUGCUUUUAUAAUUGGUGGAGCAGUAGGACGUGCCUGGUAAAACAAUGCCGUUGGUGGAUUUGGAGGUGGUGGUGGAGCAUAUGGUGAUGGUGGAGGAGCAGGUGGAGAAGGUGGUUACUCAGGUGGGGCAUCGGGAGAAAAUGUGUCCGGAUCUUGUGCUGGUGGAGGUGGAUCUUAUAAUGCAAGAAAAAAUCAAGUGAACAAGUCAGCCUUUAAUGACAAAGGAGACGGAUAUGUCAUUAUCACUGGAAAGAGAUAGAUUAAAUCAUCUUAAAGUUGGGUAUAUUUUGGAACAACAUUUUAGUAUCUUGUUGUAUAGUUUAGAGCUCUCAAAAACAACAUUUUUCGAAAUAAUAGUUUGCCUAUCUGUUAAGACACAGAUUGUGGUAGUCGACGUGAAUCAGCACAAUAUUUACCUAUAUCUAUAAAUACGAGUAAAAUUUUACGUAUUGACAACAUUGUUGUAAAACUACAAUUUUUAUGUAAUAAGACUUUAUAGUUGCAUCAGAGGUAAGUUUUUUUUUCUUCGAUGCCAUAGUCCCAAAUUUUGAUUGUGAACCUACUCUUUGAAUAAAUAUUUUCAAACCUUAGCUGGUUAUAAAAAUCAA